AUUGAACGCUGGCGGCAGGCCUAACACAUGCAAGUCGAACGAGUGGCGGACGGGUGAGAAAAGUCUGGGAAACUGCCCGAUGGAGGGGGAUAACUACUGGAAACGGUAGCUAAAACCGCAUACCAUCGGAUGUGCCCAUAUGGGAUUAGCGAGUAGGUGGGGUAACGGCUCACCUAGGCGACGAGCCCUAGCUGGUCUGAGAGGAUGACCAGCAACACUGGAACUGAGUCACGGUCCAGACUCCUACGGGUGGCGGCAGUGGGUAAUAUUGCACCAUGGGCGCAAGCCUGAUGCAGCCAUGCCGCGUGUAUGUAGAAGGCCUUCCGGUUGUAUAGUACUUUCAGCGGGGAUGCGUUACCCGCAGAAGAAGCACCGGCUACCUCCGUGCCAGCAGCCGCGGUAAUAC
rnacentral:rRNA from 1 species